rnacentral:rRNA from 1 species
CCUACGGGUGACUGCAGUAGGGCAUCUUCCACAAUGGACGAAAGUCUGAUGGAGCAACGCCGCGUGAGUGAAGAAGGGUUUCGGCUCGUAAAGCUCUGCUGGUAGUGAAGAAAGAUAUAGUUAGUAACUGGCCUUUAUUUGACGUUAAUUACUUAGACAGUCCCGGCUAACUACGGGCCAGCAGCCGCGGUAAUACGUAGGUGGAAAGCGUGGUCCGGAUUUAUUGGGCUUAAGGGUAGUGCAGGCGGUUCAAUAAGUCUGAUGUGAAAGCCUUCGGCUCAACCGGAGAAUUGCAUCAGAAACUGUUGAACUGGAGUGCAGAAGAGGAGAGAGGAACGCGAUGUGUAGCGGUGGAAUGCGUAGAUAUAUGGAAGAACACCAGUGGCGAAGGCGGCUCUCUGGGCUGCAACUGACGCUGAGGCUCGAAAGCAUGGGUAGCGAACAGGAUUAGAUACCCCUGUAGUC